rnacentral:lncRNA from 10 species
ACUUGCAAUCAUUCAGGGCAAAAACAGCAGCUGCCUGAUAGAAGACUGUUUCAAGAUGUUAUGGAAUACAUGUUUGUGUCUCUGCAAAAUGCAGAUGUUGGAGCCGUGGAGGUGGGUGGCUUUGGGAGAUAAACCCUUCGGAGGCAGCUCAUGGCCUUUCAAAUUCAUGCAUUACACAUGCAGAUUUCAGGGCUCCAUCCCAGACCUCAGGAGUCGGCAUCAGGCGCAUGGAAGUUUGAGGAGUGCUGAGGUUGAGGGAUGAAGUCACACAAGGAAGUUCCCGCCUUGAACACAAGACAGGUGCUACAGCAACGCGACUCCCGCCCUGCUGGUGUUGGGGGCACCUUGGAGGAAGCUGGCUGCACACUGGGAUCUACUGCAUGCAGCUACCUGGUGAGCUUUGAAAAAUCCCACACCAAUACAAUCCGAUGGUGGAGGGGGUCCCAAGACCCAGAGCUCAGUGUUUAUAAAGCUCUCCAAGUGCUUGCAGUGGGCAUUCAGAACCGAGGGCCUCCGACUUAACCUGAACCUCCUCUCAGGUCCCUGUGGAGAAUGCAAAGAGCUCUCUUUUCUUCCUGUUAAGGAGUAGUUGUGUCUCUGCACACACAAAUAUGUAUAAUUAAGCAAGAACAACAUCCAGGCGCAGCCCUGACUGCAGUCUAUAGCCAGAUGACAGGUGUGCCUAAAGGUAAGGGAGCAAAGGCUUUCAGUCAAAAUUCUUUUUAGAGGCCAGGUGCGGUGGCUCACGCCUGUAAUCCCAGCACAUUGGGAGGCUGAGGCAGGCGGAUCACGAGGUGAGGAGUUUGAGACCAGCCUGGCCAACAUAGUGAAACCUUGUCUCUACUAAAAAUACAAAAAUUAGCCAGGCGUGGUGGCGUGCACCUGUAAUCCUAGCUACUCGGGAGGCUGAGGCAGGAAAAUGGCUUGAACCCAGGAGGUGGAGGUUGUGGUGAGCUGCGAUCGUGCCACUGCACUCCAGCCUGGGCAACAGAGCAAGACUCCAUCUCAAAAAAAAAAAAAAUCACUUACAAAAGCAAUCUGGUAAGUAGUUGUACCCAGAAACUGAGAGUCCACACAAAUGUGGUAGAUGAAGGGAAAAGCCAACGUUCCCAAUGCGGAACAAAGCCACGGAGCCGAACGCUAAACGCAGAGCGAAGUCACGCCAAUCCCCUGCAAAACCACGCGAGUGGUCCACUGGGAGCGGGACAGACUGAAAAAAGGGCAGCAUUUGAGUGAAGUCAGAUACAACCACGUGCCCUCUGGCAAACCGACAGGCGACUCAAAGUGGAGCUGGUGACGAUGAGACCAACACUACAAUCACCAGGUUGCACCACACAAAACUGCUUCUAUUCAACUGUUUUGACCUCAAAGCAUCCAUUUCAUAAGGCUCCAUUUUAUAACAUACCAAGGAAAAUAGCAACAUUUCUAAAUUUGAAUGUUUAUAAUGCAUAACUUUAAAUAUGAAUGUAUAACUACAUCAAUAAGUUACUUAAUGGCAGGCAUUUGAUGAGUCCACUUACAUCACUAGAGACUUUUAUAUCUAAAUGUGUUAUGUAAUUCAAAAGAAACCCUGCUUCCUGGGAAAACGGGAUUACCAUAUAAUCAGGGUUAAUUUCUGUGACUAUUUGGCACGUAUGAGGCCCACUUAAGAACAGAGGGCUGGGUGCGGUGGCUCACACCUGUAACCCCAGCAUUUUGGGAGGCUGCAGUGGGCAGGUCACCUGAGGCCAGAAGUUCGAGACCAGCCUGGCCCACAUGGCAAAACGCUGUCUCUACUAAAAAUAUAAAAAUUAGCUGGGCAUGGUGGUGAGCACCUGUAAUCCCAGCUACUUGGGAGGCUGAGACAGGAGAAUCACUUCAACCCAGGAGGCAGAGGUUGCAGUUAGCUGAGAUUGCACCACUGCACUCCAGCUUGGGUGAUAGAGCAAGACUCUGUUUCAAAAAAGUAAAAACUAAAAACAGAGAGAUACACCUGCUGCCUGCCGACCUGCAGGCAACACCAACAUCCCUUUUCUCUUCAGAUCUUUUCUCGGGCCAUUGGCCACAGUGCCGCCUCUACUGCAAAACAUGUACCCAGGAGGGAAAGGCAGGCAGCCUCCUAUUCCUUUCUGGAGAGAGGAGCAUGGGGCAGGGGGCUGUUGGAUUUCUGGGGAGGAAACUGCACAGAUGGAUGGAGGAACCCGCCUCACUCCCCUGCAUCUCCUGAAGAGGUGUCCGUGCCCUGCCAGCUGGGGAGUCAGUCCCACUGAAUCACUGCUGUUAAGGGGCUCAGCCCUGCAGGAGUGCCAGGAAGGGCUUCCGUUUCUUCUGCGAGUGUUGCUGAUAUGUAUGUGAAAAUCACACAAGGGCAAGGGCUUCACCCUGUGCGUCUAUUAAAACCAAGUGCAGCAUUG